GCCCGGGUGGCGAAAUCGGUAAACGCAGCGGACUUAAAAUCCGCCGCCCUCAACAGGCGUACGGGUUCAAGUCCCGUCCCGGGCACCA
rnacentral:tRNA from 4 species